CUGCGAGUUCGCGGGAGAGUAAGUUAUUGCCAGGGUUUUUAUUUUAUACUUUAAACCUUGAAUUUAUUUUUAAAUGUUUAUAUUAUUUGAAUAAAACAUUCAAAUAAUAUAAAAAAUAAUAUAUAUAUUGACAUGGAUUAAACAAAGAUAUAUAUUAUUCUAUGUUGUAUAAACAAAUUGGCAAAAUAGAGAUGGAAGAUAAAAAUAUGGUCAAAGUAAUAAGAGUCUAUGGUGGAUGCCUAGGA
rnacentral:misc_RNA from 1 species